rnacentral:rRNA from 1 species
UUAGCAUAUCAAUAAGCGCAGGAAAAGAAACCAACAGGGAUUGCCUCAGUAACGGCGAGUGAAGCGGCAACAGCUCAAAUUUGAAAUCUGGCCUCUUGGGGUCCGAGUUGUAAUUUGUAGAGGAUGUUUCGGGUACCGCCUCGGUUUAAAUUUCUUGGAACAGAAUGUCAAAGAGGGUGAGAAUCCCGUCUUGGACCGGCGGUAGGGCCUAUGUGAAACUCCUUCGACGAGUCGAGUUGUUUGGGAAUGCAGCUCAAAAUGGGUGGUAAAUUUCAUCUAAAGCUAAAUAUUGGCCAGAGACCGAUAGCGCACAAGUAGAGUGAUCGAAAGAUGAAAAGCACUUUGAAAAGAGAGUUAAACAGUAUGUGAAAUUGUUGAAAGGGAAGCGCUUGCAACCAGACUUGAGCGCGGCGGUUCCCCCUUGCUUCUGCUUGGGUUACUCCGCCGUGUCCAGGCCAACAUCGGUUCUGGGGGUCGGUCAAAGGCUCUGGGAAUGUAUCUACCCACGGGUAGACUUAUAGACCAGGGUGUCAUGCGACCUCCCGGGACCGAGGAACGCGCUUCGGCUCGGAUGUUGGCGUAAUGGUUGUCAGCGACCCGUCUUGAAACACGGACCAAGGAGUCUAACAUCUAUGCGAGUGUUUGGGUGUCAAACCCGGAACGCGGAAUGAAAGUGAACGGAGGUAGGAAGCUUCGGCUGCACUAUCGACCGAUCCUGAAGUUUACGGAUGGAUUUGAGUAAGAGCAUAGCUGUUGGGACCCGAAAGAUGGUGAACUAUGCCUGAAUAGGGUGAAGCCAGAGGAAACUCUGGUGGAGGCUCGCAGCGGUUCUGACGUGCAAAUCGAUCGUCAAAUUUGGGUAUAGGGGCGAAAGACUAAUCGAACCAUCUGGUAGCUGGGUCUGCGAG